UACGAAGGGGGCUAGCGUUGUUCGGAAUUAUUGGGCGUAAAGGGCGCGUAGGCGGGAUGGUAAGUCGGUCGUGAAAUCCCUCGGCUCAACCGAGGAACGUCGAUCGAUACUACCGUUCUUGAGGAUUGCAGAGGAGACUGGAAUUCCCGGUGUAGCGGUGAAAUGUGUAGAGAUCGGGAGGAACACCGGUGGCGAAGGCGGGUCUCUGGGCAAUUCCUGACGCUGAGGCGCGAAAGCGUGGGGAGCAAACGGG
rnacentral:rRNA from 1 species